AGUAAGGUGGCUGAAUUUUAGGCGAUAAAUUGUAAAUUUAUUUAUGAAUGAAUAGUUCUCUUUCUA
rnacentral:tRNA from 2 species